ACAGAUUAUAACUAUAUAUGGACAUACUAUAAAAUAUGAAAAGGCUUAUUCAUUCACAUUUUUCUAGGGGACACACACACACACACACUACCACAUUAAAAUAUUGCCCUCUUGCUAGAUUGAUGACUAAGACCACAGCGAAACAGUGCAAGACUCAGAGGACUUAGUGCUUGAGGUAGUCACCUCAUACAAGUACUUGGGGGUAUUGUAGAGGACUGCUAAUUCCUAUGUAGGUGACAUUACAUUACUGCUAAUUCCUAUGUAGGUGACAUUACACUACUAUAGCUGAGACACAUAGUAAAACAGGUCGGGCCCCAUACAGGAUAUUUCUCACACACACACUCACUGUAAUCAUCCAGAACACUGUCACAACAGGAUACUCCUAGCCACAGGUGCUAGCCGGCAGUUCGGCCACAACUCCCCUGAAGAUAGGGACGCACACACUUUACACACUGACCCCAGAAGACAGGGACGACGCACAUACAGUACACACAUAGCUGCCGAGGACACCCAGAUAAGACACCCACAGAUUGGCAGAAAGCCUAGACUUAGUGACUGAAGAUAGCGCACACACCAGAUCUCCUUUUCAGCUGAACAUGGUGUGACGACCAAGAACAGGCAUGGCAGGAUUCUACGAUGACGGACAGACAACAGAGCCAAUGCCGGAUGACUAUACCCCAGCCUGAUCCAAUCCGAAGAUCCGAUCUCCUAGAUAUCAACCUACUUUCUGUUCUGUAUAUGAAGCUUGUACCCAUUGUUAACUAGUGUCUUUUUUUGCUAGUCUCUGAUGAGCUAACAGAGGGGCCCGUAUAUACGCUGUACCAGAUAUCUCCACUUUGAAAUAAACCUGUCGCUUGUCGUACAAUCUACCACCUUGUCUGCAUCGAUCCUUGACCGACUCACCCUUUAUCAUAUCCCAUUAUCAACAGAAAUGGUAGCAGAGGAUGGUUUAAUAACGAUCCAUCAAAGUGAGUUGAUUUGGGUGUGAGAGGGCGAGAGGGUGAAAGGACGAUUCACGGAGGACAGAGGUGAAGGAAUUCGGGGGAGGACAACAAUUCUGCUCAACUCGGUAAACUGAUCUCAAGGCGCACCACAAACAAGGUAAGCAAAACCUGUUAAAUCAAACUUUGCAUAUUUUCGUAUAGUCUUGUCUAAAUUUUGAUCAGUAUUACCGAGUGAGUAUGAAUUCUUGUGUAAAUUUAUAAUUUGCUGACAAGUUGAAAGUACAGUAAAGUGAAUAUAUGUGGUGACAAACCGGUGACGACCGGGUGAUCUAAAUCAUUGAUGAGAUAUCAGUAGGGGGUCAGCACAGUCUGAUGGCUUUCAAUGAUGAGAGAUCACUUAAAGGCCUAGGAUAGUUCCGAUAGGGGUCAGGAAUAGAGAUCAGUAAGGGGAUAGUUAACUACUAUUCAUUAAACCUGGCGCCGAGGGGGACAAAUUGUAAUUUUGUCCUGUGGCCCGGUCUAGGCCAGUCUGAUAAGAGAUUCUCUGAUAGGGGUCGGACAUCGUGUAAUAAACUCUGAUAGGGGUCAGCUCGAUAUGGAUCAGGAAUAGAGAUCAGUAGGGGAUAGUUAACUACUAUUCAUUAAACCUGGCGCCGAGGGGGACAAAUUGUAAUUUUGUCCUGCGGCCCGGUCUAGGCCAGUCUGAUAAGAGAUUCGCUGAUAAGGAUCGGCUUUCAGGGGUCAGAGAUAUAACGUGUUGUUUUGUCUUGUUUUGUCUAUUUGUAACUGUUUAUAUUAAAAUGCAAUGUGCUUGUAAUUGUUUCCAUUAAGAUUGUUGGUGGUUAGAUAGAGAGAGAGAGAGAGAAUUCAAUAAGGGUUAUUUGAUAAAUCCGAAACUUCUAUGUUGUAUGUACCUAUGACUUCUGUGUUAAAUGUAUAAUCAGGAACAAAAUGACUGAUGUAUAAUUGAAAUAAUAUCUGAGCACAAUAUUCAAUAUCGAGACUAAAUAGUCGAAUUGAUCUCUAUACAAACCCAUGCGUUUUUUCUCAAACUGAAUAUACGAGGGAGCAGCUCUGAGAUAAGGCAGAGUACGUGGCUCCAGGAAUUCAUCACGGGUAUUUACCAGUGACAGGCUAAGUAUACUCAGAUAGUCUGAAUAUAUAUUUCAAUUGGUCAAAAUAUACAUAUAUACUUACUAAAAUAUACAAUACAUGACAAAUGGUGACCCCGAAGUGGUCUGGUAAAAGGACAUCGCUGGACAUUGGUGUGCCAGCCGAUUGGCCAGUACUGUCGUCGUCUCACAAAUCCUGACCGGUCAAAUAAAAAGGGUAAGCAGACACCUGUUGUGAAAAACUAAAGUUCUGCACAUUGGAGUUAUCCAAAUUUAGUUUGGUGAGAUACCUGUUUGAUGUAAGUUACUAAAUUUAAACUACAAUGAUGUGUGAGAUUGGAAAAUAGUUGAGAAAGUAAUAUCUCCAUUGGCAACUGCAAUUUUAUUAUUGAUCAACCAUACUUAAUGGUGCAUUGUGUAUGGGAUGUACUAGUAUGCCUGGCUGGUAGGUGGUAACAGAGAACACUUACUACAUGUAUGAAUGAUGGGUAACGGGUGGCCACCAAAGCUUGAAUGGAUAGUCUGGGACUACAUGUAUGAGUGGUGGGUAACGAGUGAUCACCAACUAAUUGGGGGCCGAUUUAGCCGUAGGGAAAGGGUAUCACUUGGGUUUCAGUAAAGGCAUGGGUUGUUGGCAGUAUUGUAGUGUACAUGGAAUGUCGUUGGAAAUAGAAAAGGGGUUGAGAACGCUGAAGUCCAUUCUAGAAUUCAAUAAAGGCAGAGAGGAUAAGGAGUGGAGGAGACGGGGUGAGAAGCUGUACAGAGAAUGGACAGAAGGUGGGGCUAUUGCAUCUCCUACUGGUCUGCUUGCUGGGGAGAACGAAGAUUUGUGUGUGUCUGGUGUAAAUUGAAGUUUACGGGCGUAAAUGAAGAUUUGUGGAGCUGGUACCGGUGAGAAUGUUGAAAAAGUCGCAGGCUUGCUGAUGAGAGUUAUAUCAUAGAAUAUUGGGGGGUGUGCAUGACUGUUGGAAAAGGUGUUCAACUCUAUUAACGUAAAAUUCUGUGUGUAGAGUUAUAUUAUGAGGUUUGAACUAUACUAAUAUUGUGGAAUUACAUAAUCAACAUCUGAACAUACUUACGUUAAACAUUAAUUGAGCCACUGAGUAAUAGAUAAGAUAUACACUAGGUACGGGGCGACGGGUGUGGUCGAUGUAAGACGGGAGUGGUGUUCUAACCAAGUGCUGAGAAAUAAGGUAGAUUUAUUUUGUUCUUUUAAUUAAUUUACACAAGUACUUCCCGGUUAUUGAUUUUGGUUUGAUUGUUCAGAUAACACCACUGAAAUUAAACAGGAGGUUAAGGUAUACUAACAUUAGAAUCUGUUUUCAUUAUGGGGAACAAUGGAAGGCCCGCAGAGGGGAUUGCAGGCUGAGGUUUUUAUGUUAAAGGGACAGUGCACGUUUAUCACAGUUGUUUGUGUGUCUAAUGGCUGGGUAUCUAAGAAGUAUUUUUGGGGAGACAAUUUGGAGAAACACGAAUAAAACAUGAAACACAGAGACAAAUUAUUUGAGUUUGAGGGGAUUAUCAUAAUUAUUAGGUUUUGUUUUUGUAGUAAACGUUUGGGUUAAGGGGAUUUUCACGUUCCCAGAGACAUGGUAUUUUACAGAUAGGGGAAAAGGCAGACGGAGGGGCCCUCCGCCCGCACUGCAGAGACCUUGAAAGUUGGAGAGAGCAGAGGAGAGGUUUUGGAAAGGGGGGCAGGACAGGCAAAGAUAACAGUUGCUGAGUGGAGACAGGGAGAGAGUUGGACAUGUGGAAAAUGAUGGGGGCGCUCCUUCAUGAUGAUGUCAGACAUAAGGAUAAUAUACUAAUCUUACCUAAGUCAUGAUUUAGAGUAGGUAAGGUUGUUACCUGGGCAGAGCCAGGUAUCAAAAGGGGGAUGGGUAAAUGUGGACUAGGAUAGGAUGGGGCCGAUUGGAUAAGAAACUAAUAAUUAAAUAUGUAAGCUAACAAUUGGGCAUAGAAGUUAAAGAUAUAAUCAGAUAAAACAUAUGAGAAAUUGUUUGUUAACCAAGCCUGUAUGUCCAGGAUUUUAUGCAUUACAGGUGAACUACAGGUGAAGUCACUCAAUCCAGUCCCAGAGGCUUGGGGACCAUAGAUGACCCCUGGUGACAGCUAGCUGAAAGAGCUACCCAGAUUCAUAUCGCACGGCGGAAGGGUAAGACACUUUUUCACUGUCGGACAUUAAAACAGUGUUCGAGAGAAGAACUGGAAUUAACAGAAUUCCGGGGGCCAACUCUCGAAUGAAGUAACCCUAACUGUCCUAUCACCCCUGUUUUUGUUCAUAGAAGUGAGGAUGUGUCUGGCUCUGGCUAAGUGAUGUGUAUUUUGUUCCAAAAUAAGCAUAAGAGAUCCCUAGAUCUGGGUAUUUGUAAGUCGCUCUGGAUAAGAGCGUCUGCUAAAUGACUUAAAUGUAAAUGUAAAUAUAGACAAGAAGUUAGAGUAGAGAUUACAUGAUAACCGACUUCGGACAGUUCUAGGAUUGGAGAAGAGGGUAUCCUUAUAGCAUGGGGAUCCACAAGGGUGGAUAGGUUUUCCAUGAUAUGGGGAAACCUGGGAGCAAUGUUGAACUUUGUAAAGGUGAUGAAAUCCUACUAACCAUCAAAACUAUUAAGCUCUCUGAUGCAGGCACUCACACCCUCGGACUACAAAGGACGAGGACAGACAUGAUGGGUGUGUUUUCUAUUAAGGUACUGCCAAGACCAGAGGUAACCGGACACACUCCUCUACCACCACUGUGUUAAAAAUACCAUUCAGGUAAUUAAUGUUAGAGACUAUUCGGCUAUUGAUCAAUUAGGAACUGAGACUGGUUUUGAUAGUAGGGACAAUUUGUGGCUGUCUUAUAUGAGGUACACAGCUAAAACCCUGAGAGGAAAGGACUGCAUUAUUUGUAGUCAUGCUAGACCUGUUCUGGCUACACACCCAUUUGCUGCAGGAGAAGGAGAGGGGUGGUUGUGUAUUCUGAGAAGUUUUUACCAGGUUAAGCCCAAUUCAACCCUCUGUUCCUCUUUGAGCCUUGUGUUUCCUGCAGUACCUCCUCAUCGGGCCAUUUGGGGUGUUGAGGCAUGGGGGGGGAAAUUGCAGUUGCAUCACGGGUACAGGUAAUGGCAUUGAUUAUGGGAGAUUGCCUGAAGCUGAUUGCAGUAGUAACAUAACCAUUAAUUCCACUUGGCCAGUUACAGGCUGAUGUGAGGUGGAUGAGUGGAGCCAAGAGUGCUGAGACCCAUUCUUAGAGGAGAAUGGCAAGGUAUGUGUGCUCUGACCAGUUUGAUAAUUCCACUGACCAUUGUUGAUGUUACUGCUGAACAGCUGUUGGGUUCUGUAUCCAAGGGACCUGAAAACAUUCCAUCCCAUGGGAGACAUAGAUGUAGUACUCCAUGGACAGAGAAUGUAGUUGACAUAAACACUAACCUGUUGGGUGUGCCAGUGGGGGUUCCUCAUGAGUUUCAGGCCUUGGGUAGGAAUGAUGGACUCUGGCACUUACUACCUACUAUGGGUCCAGCCAUGGUGGAUGCUAGACAGACUGCAUGGAUUAAUUAUGUCUACUAUAAUCAACUCCCGUGAUGCACUCACUGGUAUGUCUGAACAGCUUGGGGCCACAUUUGGGGUUUCCAGACAGAAUAGACUUGCCUUGGAUAUGCUUCUUGCCAGUCAGGGGGACGUUUGCAAGAUGUUCGGUAAACAAUGUUGCACGUAUAUUCCUAAUAAUACCAGUCCAAAUGAUAUCUAGGGCGGGCUUGAUGCACUAUCUGAUAAGAUGAGGUCCACAGGGAGGGUGGAGGAGUCUGUUCUCUUGGCCUGGUUUGGUAAGUACACUGAUAUGAUGGUUACUGGAUUUCUGACCCUAAUUCUUGUAUUAUUUGUUAUUGAUGUGAUGUGCUGCUUGCAUCAUACCGUGUUCUAAGAAAUAUGUUACAGAUAUGGUGAAGGCUUCAGGCAUGUUGCAUUUGCUUGAUGCUCCAGUUGGAGAUGCCGAUACGGAAGCAUGCUUUCAGGAGAGGAUGGGACUGACUGAGGAUGACCCAUGGUAUGCUGUGGGUGAGGUAGUAGAAUAAUUUUACACCACCACAGUUCCUUGUUAUAAAUUUUUAUGAUAGGUUUUCUUUCCAGUAUGUUUGUUCUCCCUGUUGUAAAGGUUUAGAGUCCCUGGGUGGCAAGGAGCCCACCUGGUACAGGAUAGGAGUAGCUGAGAGGACCAGAUGGUUUCUAAUAAUUCUUUCCUCUGUUUUCCAUGACCAAAGUUUUAUCCUACAUCUUACAUGUCAAUAACAAUAAAGUUUUAUCCUGUUUUUGAUAAGUGACACCCUUGUGGGUGACAAAGGGGGAAACGCAUAUAACAAUAGACAUAUAUCACUUGUUAUUAAUAAUAAACUUUUUAUUAUUUUCAUGAAAUGCUAUGACUGCUGAAAUAAAGGAUAAUGAGUGUCAAAAGGGGGACUUAAAUUUCACACCCUUGGGGUUAUUUUACAUUAUAGCCAUUACCAUAUAUAUGAUUGAAUAUUAUCUGCUGUUGCCUUGGGUGGAUGUGUUUAUGUGUUAUGUUCUCUAGCUGAUUUGAAACAUUGUUAAAAGUAUCAGGGCCAUGGAACUUUCUCAUGCUGGGAAAAUACAGAAGGGAGGGCACAUUCAGAGCGUGGGGUUGCGAGAACAAGCAGUCUUUUGUUAGAUAACAGGAGCCAGGUGCGAGAUAACGGCAUGGAGCAUGAGACCCAUCUUUUAGUUUUUGCAGCCAUUUUAGUGUUGUGCGGCUGCGGUUGCAUUCCAUGUAUCCGGUCCCUUACUGCUAGAGUUAUCUCCAGAGCUAUUGACCCUUCUUCCCUUCCCAGAUGUAUCCUCUGCUUGCUAAUGACCUGCCAGAGUUUGAGGAUGAGGUGGAGAAUACCCAUUAGAAUACCCAUCUCUUUGGAGAUGUGAAGAGAGGGUAUCACAACUUUUUCCUGCUGGAAAAGGUUGGCUUAUGUGGACAAACAUUUUACUUAUAGCUUAGAGCUGUUGUUCUCCGCAAUUGUUAAAUGAGGGUUGUAAGUUCCUAGGUGGCUGGUAGCCAACUUAGUACAUAGUGGGAUUGAGUGGAGAACUUGGUGGUAAUACAUAUACAUCCAUUUAUUUUUAAUGUUGUGCCUUUUUCAUAGCCCCUUUGGGAAAAGUUUUCUUUUGUAUCAGAAUCUAGUUAGGUUGUGUCACGUCUCUGGGGAGACGUGAAGAGAGGGAUUUGUAGAGGACUGCUAAUUCCUAUGUAGGUGACAUUACACUACUAUAGCUGAGACACAUAGUAAAACAGGUCGGGCCCCAUACAGGAUAUUUCUCACACACACACUCACUGUAAUCAUCCAGAACACUGUCACAACAGGAUACUCCUAGCCACAGGUGCUAGCCGGCAGUUCGGCCACAACUCCCCUGAAGAUAGGGACGCACACACUUUACACACUGACCCCAGAAGACAGGGACGACGCACAUACAGUACACACAUAGCUGCCGAGGACACCCAGAUAAGACACCCACAGAUUGGCAGAAAGCCUAGACUUAGUGACUGAAGAUAGCGCACACACCAGAUCUCCUUUUCAGCUGAACAUGGUGUGACGACCAAGAACAGGCAUGGCAGGAUUCUACGAUGACGGACAGACAACAGAGCCAAUGCCGGAUGACUACACCCCAGCCUGAUCCAAUCCGAAGAUCCGAUCUCCUAGAUAUCAACCUACUUUCUGUUCUGUAUAUGAAGCUUGUACCCAUUGUUAACUAGUGUCUUUUUUUGCUAGUCUCUGAUGAGCUAACAGAGGGGCCCGUAUAUACGCUGUACCAGAUAUCUCUACUUUGAAAUAAACCUGUCGCUUGUCGUACAAUCUAC